rnacentral:lncRNA from 1 species
CUCAUUGGAAUUCUUGAAGCACAAGAAUCUUGGAAACUCAACUUUAGGAAGAGGAUGAAGUCAAAAAAGCCACUUUCACCUGAUUGCUUCUCAGAUGAUUACAUCCUCAAAAGGUUCUUCCCAAGGAGAUACCAGACCAUCAUCAUAGUUAUGUGUGUUGAAUAUAAUGUAUUUAUAGUAUAUUAUCUUUCCUUGUUAAUAUAGGUCACAUGUAUGGUAGUUAGGACUCCUAGCCUUGUAUAUAUAUAUCUCUCAAUUGUAAGUAGAUUUAUUACAUGAAUGAGAAUAAGGUUUUUCUCCUUUCUCUCUCUCUCUCAACAUGGUAUCAGAGCCAAGGAAGAAAACCUAAUUCUUUCCUAUUUCCCGUGUCAUCAACUCCGGGAAACCCUCUUUCCUGUUUCCCGUGUCAUCAACUCUGGAAAACCUUCCGGUGACCGUGUUUCAUUCCGGUCACCUUCCCCAUCUCCCAAUACUUUCUGGUCAGUCGGAUCGUCGUCAGAAAACACUCACCGCCGGCGAACUUUCCAGCGACGUCUUUUUCCGACACCGACCACACCAAGAGGAGCGCCUGGAGGAGAUCUCCAACUUCUUCAAAAGCAUCGGAGCCAGAAAACCCUCCACGCGCCGGCCACGCGCACGUUUAUGGCCGGCGACUGAAUCUCACGCGCCGGCUCGUGAGGGCGCGUGAGGCCUUUUCCGGCGACGCGCCUCCUCCUCCAGCCUCGCCUGACGCCGACCAGCAUCCCUACCUACCUGGUUCUCCCAUCCGAGCACUGCACGUACCUCUUUUGGGGAUUUUUGUCUCCAUCAGCCCUCCAAACAGCCUUUCCGGCGAAGUUCCGGCUACUUUUUCUCCACCCCAAUCCCUGCACGUGCAUUGGGAAGUGUUCUUCUACCUUUCUGGUGGUACCACAUCGCGAUCUGAGGUCGUCUCCCUUUUUCGGUGGUGCCACGCCGCAAUCUGAAGCCGUAUUAGGGCUCUCUUCGAUCCAAACAUAAGAUAAGUGGAUAUGGCUACUAAAGCUUCCAUUUUUUCCUCUGUCAUAUCUGGAUCUCCUAUGAUUACUUCGGAGAAAUUGGUUGGCAGUGAAAAUUAUCUUUCCUAGUCUGCCUCUGUUGAACUUUGGUUUAUGGGUCAAGGAUAUGAGGAUCACUUGGUUACCCAGGAGGCAGAUAUCCCUGAGGUUGACCGCGUACAGUGGAGGAAGAUAGAUGCACAGUUAUGUAGUGUAUUAUGGCAAUCGGUUGAUCCCAGGAUUCUUCUUCAUCUUCAGGCCUAUAAAACUUGUUUUAAAUUUUGGACUCAGGCCAAAGGAUUAUACACGAAUGAUAUCCAGCGUCUUUAUAAGGUGGCUUCUGCUAUUGUCCAUAUCAGCCAACAGGACUUGGAUCUAUCUACUUAUAUUGGUCAGAUUGCCUCUCUUAAGAAGGAGUUCUUGACUGUGAUGCCUUUUACUCCUGAUGUUGGGGCUCAACAAACACAGCUUGACAAGUUCUUCAUGGUCCUUACUCUUAUUGGCCUCCGUCCGGAUCUUGAGCCUAUUCGUGAUCAGAUUCUUGGUAGUUCAUCAGUUCCGUCCUUGGAUGAUGUGUUUGCUCGCCUCCUCCGUAUCUCGUCCACUCAGACUUUGCCAUCUGAUAGCACUUCAGAUUCUUCUGUGUUAGUUUCUCAAACUACCUCUUGAGGAGGACGCAGUGGUACCCGAGGUAGAGGCCAACAUCCUCAUUGCACCUAUUGCAAUAAACUUGGCCACACUCGCCAUCGUUGCUAUCAGUUACAUGGAAGGCUUCCUCGCACUGCCCAUAUGGCCCAGUCCUCUGAUUCUCCACUGCCUUAGCCUCCGAGCUCCUCCGCAUCUCAGACAUCUCAGGCUUCUAUUGCCUCUGUUGCUCAGCCUGGUAAUGCCUCUGCCUGCCUUACCCACACAUCUUCUCUUGGACCCUGGAUUCUAGAUUCUGGAGCAUCUGAUCACCUAUCUGGUAAUAAGGAUCUUUUCUCCUCUAUUACUACUACCUCUGCUUUACCUACUGUUACCUUAGCUAAUGGUUCUCAAACUGUGGCUAAAGGUAUUGGCUUGGCCCUUCCUCUGCCUUCUCUACCUCUCACUUCUGUCCUUUAUACUCCUGAAUGUCCUUUUAAUCUUAUUUCCAUCAGCAAAAUCACUCGUACUCUUAAUUGCUCUAUUACCUUUUCUGAUAAAUUUGUGACCUUGCAGGACCGGAGAACAGGGAAGACGAUUGGCAUAGGACGUGAGUCUCAAGGCCUCUAUCACCUCACCUCAGAUUCAUCUCCUGCAGUUUGCAUUUCCACUGAUGCUCCUCUCCUCAUUCACAAUCGUCUGGGCCACCCUAGUCUCUCCAAGUUCCAGAAGAUGGUCCCUCGUUUUUUCACUUUGUCGUCGCUUCCGUGUGAGUCAUGUCAGCUUGGGAAACAUACUCGUGUCUCGUUCCCAAAGCGUUUGAAUAAUCGGGCAAAGUCUCCUUUUGAGCUUGUCCACACUGAUGUUUGGGGUCCUUGUCGAACUGCGUCUACUUUAGGAUUUCAGUAUUUUGUCACUUUCAUUGAUGACUAUUCUCGAUGUACUUGGUUAUUUUUAAUGAAAAAUCGAGCUGAGUUAUUCUCUAUUUUCCAGAAAUUUUAUACUGAAAUCCAAACCCAGUUCAAUAUUUCUAUUCGUGUGUUACGCAGUGACAAUGCCAGGGAAUAUUUUUCAACCCAAUUUACUUCGUUUAUGUCUCAUCAUGAGAUUCUUCAUCAGUCUUCUUGUGCUCACACUCCUCAACAAAAUGGGGUAGCUGAACGCAAGAAUCGACAUCUUGUUGAGACAGCUCGUACUCCCCUCCUCCAUAGUCACGUUCCUUUUCAUUUUUGGGGGAACGCUGUUCUUACCGCUUGUUAUUUGAUUAAUCGUAUGCCCUCCUCUGUCUUACACGAUCAGAUUCCUCACUCCCUUCUCUUCCCUGACCAACCGCUUUAUUUCCCUCCUCCUCGUGUCUUUGGUUGUACUUGCUUUGUUCAUAUUCUCACUCCUGGACAGGACAAGCUUUCCGCCAAAGCCAUGAAGUGCCUCUUCUUGGGAUAUUCCAGACUUCAGAAGGGUUAUCGUUGUUAUUCCCUUGAGACUCAUCGAUACUUUAUCUCCGCUGAUGUCACCUUCUUUGAGGACUCACCAUUCUUUUCCACCACUUCUGAGUCUCUUCCUGUUUCUGAAGUCUUGCCCAUUCCCAUUGUCUCCCCACUUGAUGCUAUGCCCCCUCGACCACUUCAGGUUUAACAUCGUCGCCCUCGUGUCGUUGCUCCUCUCCCUUUUCCUGAGGCACCUGCUGACUCACUUCCUAUCCCUUCGGCUUCACCUGCCCCGGCUCUGCCUUCUCCUAAUGACUUACCCAUUGCUGUUCGGAAAGGUACUCACUCUACUCGUAAUCCUCAUCCUAUUUACAAUUUUUUGAGUUAUCAUCGAUUAUCUUCACCCUAUUCUGCUUUUAUUUCUGCUAUAUCCUCUGUUUCUCUUCCAAAGAGCACCCAUGAAGCUCUUUCCCAUCCAGGCUGGCGACAGGCAAUGGUGGAUGAAAUGGUUGCUCUGCACUCUAAUGGCACUUGGGAUCUUGUUGUUUUACCCUCUGGUAAAUCUACAGUUGGUUGUCGUUGGGUCUAUGCAGUUAAGGUUGGUCCUGAUGGUCAGGUUGAUCGCCUUAAGGCCCGCUUAGUUGCUAAAGGCUAUACUCAAGUUUAUGGUUCUGAUUAUGGUGACACAUUCUCCCCUGUUGCCAAGAUUGCUUCUGUCCGCUUGCUUCUCUCCAUGGCUGCUAUGUGUUCUUGGCCUCUUUAUCAGUUGGAUAUUAAAAAUGCCUUCCUUCAUGGUGAUCUUGCCGAGGAAGUUUAUAUGGAGCAACCUCCUGGUUUUGUUGCUCAGGGGGAGUCUGGUUUAGUGUGCAGGUUACGCCGUUCUCUAUAUGGCUUGAAACAAUCUCCUCGAGCAUGGUUUAGCCAUUUUAGUUCUGUUGUUCAAGAGUUUGGCAUGCUUCGCAGUACAGCAGACCAUUCAGUUUUUUAUCAUCAUAACUCCUUGGGACAGUGUAUUUAUCUGGUUGUUUAUGUGGACGACAUCGUCAUUACAGGCAGUGAUCAGGAUGGUAUUCAGAAACUAAAGCAACAUCUUUUUACCCACUUUCAGACCAAAGACUUGGGGAAACUCAAGUAUUUCUUGGGAAUUGAGAUAGCUCAAUCCAGUUCUGGUGUGGUCCUUUCCCAAAGGAAGUAUGCUUUAGACAUCCUGGAAAAAACCGGUAUGUUAGACUGUAAACCGGUAGACACACCUAUGGAUCCGAAUGUCAAACUUGUACCAGGACAGGGGGAGCCUUUAGGAGACCCCGGGAGAUAUCGACGGCUUGUAGGUAAAUUGAACUAUCUCACCAUUACUCGUCCAGACAUUUCUUUUCCUGUGAGUGUUGUUAGUCAAUUCCUACAGUCACCAUGUGAUAGCCAUUGGGAUGCCGUAAUCCGCAUUCUUCGAUAUAUCAAAAGUACACCAGGCCAAGGUGUAUUGUACGAGAACAGAGGUCAUACUCAGGUUGUUGGUUACACAGAUGCAGAUUGGGCUGGCUCACCCACAGAUAGACGUUCCACUUCAGGGUACUGUGUUUUUAUUGGAGGUAAUCUAAUAUCUUGGAAGAGUAAGAAACAAGAUGUAGUGGCCAGAUCUAGCGCUGAAGCCGAGUAUCGAGCUAUGGCUUUGGCAACAUGUGAACUCAUAUGGUUGAGACAUCUUCUUCAGGAGUUGAGAUUUGGAAAGGCUGAACAGAUGAAACUCAUCUGUGAUAACCAGGCCGCAUUACAUAUUGCAUCCAAUCCAGUCUUUCAUGAAAGGACCAAGCAUAUUGAAGUUGACUGUCAUUUCAUUAGAGAGAAGAUCGCAUCAGGGUGUGUUGCUACAAGUUUUGUUAAUUCAAAUGAUCAACUAGCAGACAUCUUCACUAAAUCUCUCAGAGGUCCUAGGAUUAAAUAUAUUUGUAACAAGCUUGGUGCAUAUGACGUAUAUGCUCCAGCUUGAGGGGGAGUGUUGAAUAUAAUGUAUUUAUAGUAUAUUAUCUUUCCUUGUUAAUAUAGGUCACAUGUAUGGUAGUUAGGACUCCUAGCCUUGUAUAUAUAUAUCUCUCAAUUGUAAGUAGAUUUAUUACAUGAAUGAGAAUAAGGUUUUUCUCCUUUCUCUCUCUCUCUCAACAAUGUGCAAUGUACAGAUGAUGAAAAUCAACUUAACAGAUCCUCAAGUGCAGAAGGCACAUCAAUUGAUUCUUGU